GCUAUUCAUCACAAUUUGUUGAGCAUGGGACACCUAUCAGAGAAAGGUUACAACAUGCAGAUUCAUCCUAGAUAUUGCACGUUGAUAGUUUAGCAAACUACUGAGAAGGUGAAAUUAAUUUAGGAUAGAAUGAGAACAUCCUAAAGUAGGCAUCAAAUUUGCCCUGAUAAGAGAAAGAAAAACCUUGAGUCAAAAGAGGGAGACCAAUUAUUCCUUAAGGCAACUCCUUGGAUUGGAGUUGGUAGAGCACUAAAAUCUCAGCUUGGAGAACAAGAGCAAGAAGGAAAUCACCACAGAGGCAUGCACCCUUUAUCUAUAGCGUAUGUAGGUAAUCAUCAACAUGGUGCUGAGGAUGUCGGUGAUGAGGCUUAGUCCUCAAUACUGGAUUUUGAUAUGGUUAAUCAUGAAGCAUUUUUGGGCUCAGAUAUUUUGGACUUCAAGAGACAAGGUGCCACGUCAGCACCACUUCACCACAUCAGCGCCACAUUAGCAUUUUGUUUUAUUUUUUGUUUAUUAUAUUAUAUUUUCGGGUCAGAGUUGGAUUGGGGGCCAUUUGACUUUUCUAGGGUUUUAGGGUCCUAGGCUAGGCUGACCAUGCAGCCACUACUCUUCAAUGACGUGACCACAUUUUAGUUUUCUAUUCUUCUUUUUCCUUUAUAUUUUUCCUCUCUGUUUUGCUUCUUCUUUCACGUUGUGAU